AGAGUUUGAUCUUGGCUCAGGAUGAACGCUAGCGGCAGGGCUUAACACAUGCAAGUCGAGGGGCAGCAUGUCCAGCAAUGGAUGAUGGCGACCGGCGGAAGGGUGCGUAACGCGUGAGCAACAUGCCCUAUACAGGGAGAUACACCAGGGAAACUUGGUCUAAUAUCCCAUAGCAUUCAUUGAAGGCAUCUUUAAUGAAUUAAAGCUUCGGUGGUAUAGGAUUGGCUCGCGUGACAUUAGCCAGAUGGUGAGGUAACGGCUCACCAUAGCAAUGAUGUCUAGGGGUUUUGAGAGGAAGGCCCCCCACACUGGGACUGAGACACGGCCCAGACUCCUACGGGAGGCAGCAGUGAGGAAUAUUGGACAAUGGAUGGAAAUCUGAUCCAGCCAUGCCGCGUGCAGGAAGACGGCCUUAUGGGUUGUAAACUGCUUUUAUACGGGAGCAAUAAGGGUUACGAGUAAUCCGAUGAGAGUACUGUAUGAAUAAGGAUCGGCUAACUCCGUGCCAGCAGCCGCGGUAAUACGGAGGAUCCGAGCGUUAUCCGGAAUUAUUGGGUUUAAAGGGUGCGUAGGCGGCCAUUUAAGUCAGCGGUGAAAUUUUGCAGCUUAACUGUAACAGUGCCGUUGAUACUGUUUGGCUAGGAUUUGGUUGUAGUGUGCGGAAUGUGUGGUGUAGCGGUGAAAUGCUUAGAUAUCACACAGAACACCGAUUGCGAAGGCAGCACACUAAGUCAUUAUUGACGCUGAGGCACGAAAGUGUGGGGAUCAAACAGGAUUAGAUACCCUGGUAGUCCACACUGUAAACGAUGAUAACUCGCUGUCGGCGAUACACAGUCGGGGCCAAGCGAAAGC
rnacentral:rRNA from 1 species